GAAGUUUCGUUCUCCAGAUUCGGUACAGUGAGACUACCUGCCGGAGGUGUUUCAGAGCUAUUUGAGGAGCAGGGAUGCCCACGAGUUCCAUCCUUACUUUGUGUUUCCUUUUAGUUAUUAGCGAUGCUGUUGGAUGAGGCUUAGCCGUUUCAUAUGAAAGAAAAAGAAUUUGCUCUUAGGGAUCCGGGAGCAGCAGUACAAUCGCGGUGUUUUUUAUUUUAAAUAGGACUCUUCACAGUGUUAUUUUUGACCGGCGAACCUUCGGGUUCUUUUAAAGUUAUAUUUUUGUUUAUAUUCCUGGGUGAGCGGAAGGGAGAGGACGGGAGGAGCUUCCUGUGUGCCUGCCUGCAGGUGCACCAAUGCUCAGCAGAGGGCACUGAAUGCUGGGGAAACAUGCUUGUGAGCUGCCUGAAGAGGAAAUCAAUCUUUCAGGUUAAAGGGCAGCAAGAGUUCUUAACUGCUGAACCAUCCCUCCAGCCCCUUGUCCCUCUUUGAUCUUUGCUCUGAGGGGGAGGAGAGAAGAAUUGGGGGAUUUGAAACCCUCUUCCUGAACUUUAAGCAACACAUUGAUACCUGCAUGUAUGGCACAACUGAAGCAACAGCAACAUUUCCCUGUCCUGUGGGAAUGGCCUCGCGGACUAGUAAGGCCACUUUCUUGCUCCUAGCACCUUGCAUCUGAUGCUUCGUUCUCAAGGUUUGUUUAAGGGGCACCUCAUUGAGAGUCUGCUCAGAGCACUUGCGUGUGGUUUGCAGAGAGCGAUGGAGAUCAACUUUGCCCAUCCCUGAUCAAAAUGUAGAGAAACCUGCUAAGGUGUCUGGAGGACGGGGAAUCAAACAUAAUUGAAGAAAUACC
rnacentral:lncRNA from 1 species